rnacentral:rRNA from 2 species
GAGCACGUAGGUGGGUUUGUAAGUCAGAUGUGAAAGCCUUCUGUUCAACGGAAGAAUUGCAUCUGAAACUACAAGUCUUGAGUGUAGGAGGGGAGAAUGGAACUUCUGGUGGAGCGGUGAAAUGCGUAGAUAUCAGAAGGAACGCCGGCGGCGAAAGCGAUUCUCUGGCCUAUUACUGACACUCAGUGUGCGAAAGCUAGGGGAGCAAACGGGAUUAGAUACCCCGGUAGUCCUAGCCGUAAACGAUGGGCACUAAGUAGAGGGGUUUU